GGAAAGAAAAAAAGAAGAAAGAAAAAUGACAGAAAAAGAAACAACAAAAAGUGUUGUUUUGUUGUUUGUUGUUUGUUUUGUUGUUUGUUUUGUUGUUGUUGUUUGU
rnacentral:ribozyme from 13 species